CCUACGGGGGGCAGCAGUGGGGAAUUUUGGACAAUGGGCGAAAGCCUGAUCCAGCAAUGCCGCGUGCAGGAUGAAGGCCCUCGGGUUGUAAACUGCUUUUGUACGGAACGAAAAGCCUGGGGCUAAUAUCCCCGGGUCAUGACGGUACCGUAAGAAUAAGCACCGGCUAACUACGUGCCAGCAGCCGCGGUAAUACGUAGGGUGCAAGCGUUAAUCGGAAUUACUGGGCGUAAAGCGUGCGCAGGCGGUUUUGUAAGACAGUGGUGAAAUCCCCGGGCUCAACCUGGGAACUGCCAUUGUGACUGCAAGGCUAGAGUGCGGCAGAGGGGGAUGGAAUUCCGCGUGUAGCAGUGAAAUGCGUAGAUAUGCGGAGGAACACCGAUGGCGAAGGCAAUCCCCUGGGCCUGCACUGACGCUCAUGCACGAAAGCGUGGGGAGCAAACAGGAUUAGAUACCCCGGUAGUC
rnacentral:rRNA from 1 species